rnacentral:rRNA from 1 species
UACAGAGGUGGCAAGCGUUGUUCGGAAUUACUGGGCGUAAAGGGCGCGUAGGCGGUUCGAUAAGUCCCGUGUGAAAUCCCUCGGCUCAACCGAGGAACUGCACUCGAUACUGGUCGGCUAGAGUCCGGGAGGGGAUGGUGGAAUUCCCAGUGUAGCGGUGAAAUGCGUAGAUAUUGGGAAGAACACCGGUGGCGAAGGCGGCCAUCUGGACCGGAACUGACGCUGAGGCGCGAAAGCGUGGGGAGCGAACAGG